rnacentral:rRNA from 1 species
UACGUAGGGGGCAAGCGUUGUCCGGAUUUAUUGGGCGUAAAGAGCGUGUAGGCGGUUAGGUAGGUCCGUUGUGAAAACUCGAGGCUCAACCUCGAGACGCCGAUGGAAACCAUCUGACUAGAGUCCGGAAGAGGAGAGUGGAAUUCCUGGUGUAGCGGUGAAAUGCGCAGAUAUCAGGAAGAACACCCGUGGCUAAGGCGGCUCUCUAGUACGUGACUGACGCUGAGACGCGAAAGCGUGGGUAGCGAACAGG